GUUCCAAACCCACCUCAUGAUGUUUUUAGACCACCACCAAGUCCUAAAACCAUUGUUACAAUGUCGCCGCCGCCACCUCCAAGCCCAUCAAAACAUGUUCCAAGCCCACCUAAAAGUGUUAUAGGCCCACCUCAAGUAUACUUGCCACCUAUUGUUUAUCCACCACCACCUUCAACUCAUAAGAAGCCACCACAAUAUGCUAUUUGGUGUGUGGCAAAGCCUACAGUUCCUGAUCCUAUAAUUCAAGUGGCUAUGGAUUAUGCCUGUGGGUCUGGGGCUGACUGUAAAUCAGUUCAGCCUAAUGGGAUAUGCUUUCAGCCCAACACAGUGUUGGCACAUGCUUCUUAUGCAUUUAAUAGCUAUUGGCAGAACACUAAGAUUGGUGGGGGGACUUGUGAUUUUGGUGGUACUGCUAUGCUUGUCACUGUUGAUCCAAGUAAGUUUGCACUACGUACCAUAUUUGAUUACCUUUGUUAAAGAGAUUAAUUUUCAUAUAUUUCAUUUUUUUUUGUAAGUAAUUUUUCCAUGUAUUUCAUGUUCUACACUGUUAGCACAUUUACAUGUUGAUCUAAUGAUAAAAAAAAAAAAAAAAUUUUGAAUCGGCAAAAUAUUAUAUGUAUGGACCGUAAAAGUUGAUUAUGAUAAAAUUUAAACAGUUGAUUAGGAUAAAUAAUUUAAUUUUUUGGUACAAAUAAUAAAAUAAAUUUUAAUGAAAUUAUAUGACAAAAUUAACACUUCACAUGUUUCAUAUAUAUCGAGAUUCUUUUUUUGUUACAAUGAGAUCCUUUUAUUUAGCUGUUAGUUAAGUCAUUUCACAUCACAUCACAUACUAUAUAUAUCCACACAACAGGCAUAUGCCACUUGAUUUCUUUUAAAUUGGAAUCUAUCCGGGUAGAGAAAACAUGAAUUCAUGACAUCGGUAGCCGGCGUCUGAUUAAAAAUAAAGGUUUUUUUUAAAUUACCUUUAAAGAAUGGUGGGUAAUUUAUCCACCAACCAAUGAAAAUGAGCAAUUUAUUUGUGGAGUCAAGAUAGUUCAUGAAUAUGUGUUUAUGUGGCUAAUGUGUAUUGGUUGGGGUAAAUUACCCAUCAUUCUUUCAUGGGUAGCCUAGUUGCCACCAAAAAUAAAUGGUUCAAAUAAAUAUAUAUUUUAAUUUAUAAUUUAAAAAAAUAUCAAAUUUAAAUAUGAAUGGUUUAAUCUUGAUCAAACAACUAUUGAUGUGCUAUUGUGUGAUGUGUGCUUGAUCCCCUUUCUUCUUUUGAGGUGCAUUCUUCAUUGUCACACUCGGUGGUAUUAGAUUCGCGCACAGUCACUUAAAGCCCACAUUCACCUAUUCAAAACGUUGUUGACUUAUAUGGAUCAAGAUCUAAAGGAAUUUUAAGCUGGUUUUUAAGAUAAAAAACAAAAAUCAAACCUUAAAACCUGCAUUGUUCGAUCUAGAGUCAACGAUCACCGACAUGGUGAAAGUGAAUUUUUGUAACUACAUGGAAUGCAUAUUUCGUAGUCUUUUCAAUUUAGAACUAUGGAUUAUUGCUUCAGACUAACAUUUCCCUCAAAUCCUCGAUUUAUUUGGCAGGUUAUGACAAGUGCAGCUUCAAGUCGACUUAGCUCAUUGCUUGCUAUAAUACAUAGCAUUUGGAGACUUACCAAAUAUUGAAAACUUCUUGUUCCAAUGUAAUUUUUUAUGCAACGAUAAAUUCCCUUACUUAAUUAGAUACAUUAUUUGGAGUUACCUUGAUCAUAGUAUAUUCCGCCCUUGCUUAAUUUUGUGUAGUUCUAUAUAUUUCUAAAAUGGUAGGUUUAAUAUAUAUAUUCAUGACCAUAAUUUGAUAUUUAGAGAUGUAUGUAGCUCUAUUACGUUUCUGGUUCUUUAGUUUAAAACUUAGAUAAGCACCCAUCUUUUGUGUAUUACUAUCAGCGUUAUAAUCCUUGAAAACUUAGAUAAGCACCCAUCUAAAUGCAUAUAAGGUUAAGACAAUACCGACAUCAAAAUGCAGGUUGAAUACAUUAUCCGACUAAAAUCCAUUUCGCUUUCUUCAUGCAUGUGCUCUACAGUUAUCUUCAAUGAAUAAAACAGUAGUUACCUUCAGCCAGCUUGUAAUAUGUUGUCGCACCUGCGAAGCUAAUUUGCAUUCAAAAAAUAAGUGAGAAACAUUUUCCUGCGAAGCUAAUGAAGUGUACGGAAAAAUAAAUAAAAAAUUUACAUUUUAUUAUAACAAAGCAAACAAUUUACUCUAUUGCUUUUUUCUUUAAAAAAAAAUAAAAAAUUUACUUUAUUGUUUCGUGGUGUUUUUUUUAUUCAUUUACUUACUGAUAAAAAACUCAUAUAGACAAAAGAACUGAGUUAAGUGAGAAAAAAAAUGAGAUUAUAGCUAGUAUUGAUAUUUUUACUAAUGUAUUUCGAAAAAUAUUUCAUUCUGUUGGUGUAUAAAAAUUUACAUUAGAAGCAGGGAGGGAACCAUAUUUAACGGUAUAAGAUAGGAAAGAAAAAACAAAUUACUUUACCCAAAAAAAAAAAAAAACAAAUUUUUAUUUGCAAAUAUAAUGCACACAUGAAAUUUAAGAAAUUAUAUGUUACUUCCCUCAUUUCCUUUUUUUAAGUGUUUUUUUAGAAAAUUAACACAAAAAUCACGAAGUGUAUUUUUUGCACAUUUUCUUCCUAGUAUACCCUCAUUUUAAUCCACUAAUAAAUUUCAAUUGUUUUGCAAACACUUUAUCUUUCCAAUAAAUUUAAUAUGUUAUAUUUCUCUCAUUGUGAGUUACUAUUAUCUUUUUCUCCAACAAAUUCCUAUUUUUUUACAUGCACUCUCUCAUAACAAACAAUUGUCAAUUUUCUAAAUAUUGUGUACAUCUUUUCAAUUAUUUUAAGUCAAUAUAAAAAUUAAAUUGAUGAAACUUCUUCUUCUUCAUUGUCAUCUUGUUCUUGUUCUUGUAUCUUGUCGAAUGAGUUUUCAACUAUUGCUCCCUCUUCACAUCUCAUCAUCAAUUUCAACGAGUCUUCCACUUUUUCAUCCUUUUGAGCAUACUACAUGGAGUCUUUUAUUUUUCUUCUCUCAAAUCUUUUAUUUUACUUUGCCCUUGAAAUUUUUAACAAUUGAUACUCAUCUUAGUUAUCGAAUUUUAACUCUUCUUGGAACCAUUGUUUGUAACAAAAUUUUGUUUAAAUUUGAAGAUAACAAGAAACAAACUUUGUUUAAAAAAAAACUGUGUUCCAAAUAGAUAGCAUUAAUUAGUUUUAUUGAAAAAGCUAAAAGUAAUUGGCAAAGGGUAUAAUUGACAAAUCGUAAUUUAAAAUACCAAAAAGACAGUAAAAUAGGAACGGAAAAUUCACCAUAAAAAGACACUUAAAAAUGAACGGAGGAAGUAUAUCCAAAGUUAAUAUGUAUCGAAAAUUGUGUUCAUGUGUAAUUUAUUUGUUGUUUUUUGUUGCCGUUGUUUCUUUAGUGGCACUUUGACUCUGUAAAUACUUGUCGGUGGUUCUCCUUUUGCAUACCUUAUACAGGUUGAACCACUCUGAUUUUAUUAAUAUCUCAUUUUGAUUUGUUAAAAAAAAAUGUAUCUAAAAUUAUAAGAAAUUUCAAAGAUGUUAGAAAAAUGAGUUCCUUGAGGCUUCUUUGAGUGUGACCAAAGAAGAUUUUUUUAAUAGUAGAGAUAGGAAAUAAGAAACAACAAGAAUGUAAAUGUAGGAGAAGAAAUUCAAGAUAAUAUCACAAACAUUAGUAGUGACUGAAAGGGCGCAAACAACACCGCGUGCAAUAUUUCUUACAGUUUGAGUGAAAUUGCAACAAAUAAUCACAAAUUAAUAUUCUAGUUAAGGUUCUUCUAAUUGCAUAAAAAAAAACUCACUUUAUUUCUCAAUUUCUCAAUGUUAUGCAUUCUAGUUAAGGAUUUGUGUUAUUAAAAUUUGAAAGUUAUACAAUGCUAAAUAUACUGAGUAAAAAAAAGUUCAUUAUACAAAAUCAUAUUAAGUUCACAGAAAAUAGUAUAGUGACAAAAAAAUAAAAAUAAUAAUAACAUACUAAUAUGAAGGGAACCAUGGCCUAUGUUAGUCUCCGUUCUAGUUUCAUCCCUGAUUGCAAAGUAUAUCAUAAUGCAAUCUUGUGUAGCUACGAUAAGAAUUAAAUAUUUUCAAUUAUCUACUAAUAGUAAUGAUUAAUUGACAAUGCAAGUACUCUUUACACCUGCAUUGCAUAUGAAUUAGAAGUCACUUUGUUGGCAUAUCACUCCUCAAUCUUGUGAUCCUCCGUUCAAAACUAGCGGUAUGGUAACAAAACCCAUAUAUGUGGGUAUCCGUUUGAACCAAACUUAAAUUGACGGGUUUUUUUUAUUUUAAUUGGGUUUGGGUUUGUCUCGAUUUCAAAAGAUAGAUACGGGACGGGUAACAGGAAUAUAGGUACUCAUCUCAAACCCAUCCUGAAUGUAGAAAAUUAAUUUAUUACCCAUUUUAUAUAAAUAAAAACUCAAACCCUAAAUCAUUUCACUCAUACAAUCAGAGUCUCGGUCUUUCAGAUGACACAAUUAUCAUAGUUCUUUCUUUUCUCCUUCAAUAUUCCACACUCUCAGCCUCUCUCUUCUUCAUCACCAUAGUCAUCGAUCGUCGUCAUCUUUUUACUGAAUAAUGCAUUAGUCAUUACAACUUUGCGCUCGGGGAUAAAAAAUACUUUUAUUUUUAAUAAAAAAAAAUUAUCCACUUCGGGGAUGGGAAUGAGGCGGGGAUGCCCAAACCCGUCGGGGACAUGGAUGAGAUUCGAUUUCUCAUCUCCGCUGAAUAUGGGUAUGGUAACGGGUAAGUAUUUGAAAAUAUGGUAUGAGGACGGGGAAGGUAAAACUCAUCCUCACCCUACCCCAUUGUGAUGCCUAUUCAUGAAGCACAUAUAUUUAGGUAAAUAUUAGAAUAGAAUAACAUUGGAAUGAAAUAAUGACAAAAUUAUCUCUUCACAUGUUUCAUAUUGAGACUCUUUUAUUUACAAUGAGUUCCUUAUUUCGUCGUUAUAGUUUAAGUGAUUUCACAUCACAUACUAUACCCUAACAACAAAGACAUAUUAUGCCACUUGGUUUCGGUACACAUUUCAUUGUCACGCAUCGUCGUCUUAUGGUUGUUGUGCCUUCAAUUUAGUUAAAACUAUGGGCUAUUGCUACAGACUGACAUUUUCCUCAAAAUCAAAACCACCGUUUAUUUGGCAGGUUAUGCAACUUCAUGUUGACUUCCUUCUAUUGAAAACCUCUCUUUCCAACGUAAUUUUUACGUAGCAAUACAUCCCCUUUGCUUAAUUAGUGACAAUAUUUGAAGUUACCCUACCUUGAUCAUCAUCAUCCCUUGCUUAAUUGGUGACGAUAUUGGAAGUAACCUUCAUCAUCUUCUUUGUGGUUUUUCUAGGAAUUCUUUAGGUGUCUUCGAGUUUGGAAGCAUACAAUCAUUUUUGUAAUAAUUAAAAAUUAAAAUUGUUACAAACUUCUAAAACACGGAAGGGUGAUUGAGUUGUCCUCGUGGAGUCAUGUGUCCAAUUGGUUAUAUAUACAAUCAUAUUAUAAUAGUCGUAUAUACGUAAACAUUUUUUAAAAAAAUAUGUACCACACUUUAAAAAUUCACAUAUGCAUUAAUUAAUUUACUUUUAACCUUAUCUUCUAAUAUAUUAUUAUAAAUUAAUUAAUAGUUAUUUUAAGAAAAACCAAUAAACAAUAUAACGCAAACUUGAAACAAAGAGUGAAUCAAGGAGAAUCUACAAAAUAAGUAGAGUAAUGUAUAAUUAAUACAGAAAAAAAAUUAACAAAUAAAAUUUAUCUCACCUUACCAAUGGAGAUUUUAUCUAUUGGAAAUGGUUGAUAUACUUACAAUUAGUUUUCGACACACAUCGAAUAUGAUUAUCUCCAAUUUAUGUGGCGGAAAAACUUAUCACACACGUUAGAAAAAGAAAAAAGUGUUUAUUUUUCUAGUUCCAUGAGUUUCUACAAGGUUUUUUUUACUUCACUAGCUAGUGAUGACUCGCAUGUGAGAUUUGCGAGUGCAACUUAACAUAUGUGAUUUUGAGACCACGAGAGAAGCAUAUAAUUUUUUUUUUUAAAGUACUAUAAAAUAAUAAUAAAAUUUGAACAUAUAUAUGAAAUGUGGUUGUAUCUUUCAGCAUGGAUUAGAACUUUGUUUGUCAUGUUUAUGAGAGUUUAAUCUCUUGCGCUAAAUUCAACCUUAUUGGUGAAUCUAGAUUUUUUUUUUUAUGUAUAUAUGUAUAUAUAUAUAUAUAUGAUGUUUCUAACCUAAUUAAGAGUUAUAUGUUGUAAUAAUAUUAUAUAAUUGUCUUUUUACUCCUUUUCGAUCUUGAGUUAUUUUGGGACGGGAAAAUAUCUUUAUUUUGGUUUUCAUAUAACUAUUCCCCCUUUUUUGUGAAUCCAAAGCAUUGCUUGAAAACUUUUAUUAUCAGCAUUGCUCGAAAGUUGAAACUAUUCCCGCUGGAUUCAAAGUUUUCAACUUCACUAAUUUCUUUGAAAAGAAAAUACUAUAAAACUUCACUGACAUGUUACGUUACAUUUGGAAGCCAGUCAUGUACCGUAAUAAUUGAAGAAAAAAUAUUAUCAGCCGACACUAAAUGCAUAAAAGGUUAAGACAUUACCGAUCCAUGUUUUGUCGUUGAACAAUUAGUCAAAUGUUAAUUGGUUUCAUUCAGAAUUAAGUGUAAAAAAUUUGAUGAUGAUAAUGAAAGAGACUUGAGUGUAUUACCCGACUAAAAUCCAUUUCGCUUUCUUCAUGUGCUCUAGAUCUACAAUUACCUGCUACACAUUCCAAUGGAUAAAUUCUGGUAAUUAUAAAUGUGAUUACUUAAAAUAUAUAUGGUGGCUUCUUAAACUAAAUUAUAUAAAUUGUUAUCGUUAAAAAGCGACUUUUAGAGUUUAUAGCAACAAUCGUAUCUAUUUGUUCACGGGUUUUUGGAUUAAGUUAGAUUUAGGCUAUUGGUCAUUUCAGUCCACUUAUAAAAAUGGAAGGAUGGAUAUUAUUUUAUUAAUUUACACCAUUCGGAGAAUUUCCUUAUUUUGUAUCAAGUCAAAUAAAAAUUAUAGCCUCAACUCUGGCAAAUUAUUUGCAACAUGUUACCCAAUAGUCUACAUUAUAUAUCUAUUAAAAAUCUUAAUAUCUUGUACAAACAUUGUGUAUAAAUCUUUAUUCGAUCAGUUAUAACAAAUUACAUAGACAUAUAGUGUGUUCGAUCGAGAAAAAUAAAUAAAAGAUUGGACAUGAUAACUACAUUUAUACUAUGUGAUUGUAAAACUACAUCAGGAACUAGAUAAACUUAGAGGGUAAAGGACACGAUAAAAAUUGAAAUUAUUAUCAUUUACUAAAUCAGAAUACAACUUUUUGCCUCAAAUACAAGUGAAUAAAAUACCCAAAUAGACUUUUAUCCACCAAGGAUCGUCGUCUAAGAUAAAAAAAAUUGUUCAAUAUAAUUAAAGUUAGUAAUGUGUCUUAUGUCUUAUUCCGUGUUCUUAUGUCCAAUACUUACAUUUUUAGAUAAUCAAACGUAUUCAUCCUGUUGAAGUACAUGGAGUCGAUACAAGUUAAGAACACAGUGGCUUGGGUUAGGUGAUAGAUGUACAAUCGUAUAGCUUAUAGGUCAAUUCUAACAUGUUUCUGAAAGUCAUUUUGUAUGGAGGUGUGUUAUUUGAACAAUCAUUUGAAUGAUAACUUUUGUGACAACCACUAAUUUACAAAGGAAAGUAGAUAGUGACACGGAAACCAAAGUAAUAGAGAGAUAAAGUAAAAAAAUAAUGUGAGUAUGAAAAAUAAAAUUGUCACAAAAUGGUUGUCAAAAUAUCAUUUCUCUUUUGUAUAACAUGCACAAAUAUUUAAAAGAUAAAUGAUAUUUGUAUAACCAUUUUUUUGACAACUUUUAGACAAUUUUCUCUCUCAUAUUCACGUUAUAUUCUUAACCUUUCUUUUCCUUUUUCUCUCUCCUUUGUUUUUAACCAAUAAAAAGAGAGGAAAAAAAAGUUGUCAAGAAAGUUGUUAGCAAAUAGUUGUUCAAAUAUCAUUGCUCGAGUUAAAAUCGUGCUCACUAAACACAAAUGAUUUUUGACGAAGUUUUGUGUAGGCACAAGCAUUUCGGCGCACAUACAUAAAUCAAAAAAAUUAAAAGAUAAAUAAAACAGUCACAUCAAUCAAUAUCAUUUUAAUCAUUUAGUUUUUAAUUUUUUUUUAACUUCAUGGAUGCGUACCUAAAUGUGAGGUGUUGGUCAUAUGACCAAAUAAGAGAUUUUCAUGAUUUUUUUACCAUAAGAUCAAAAAGUUAUAUCAUAUCUCAUUUUAUUACAUUUUUUCUUUAAUGGUGGGGUUUAUUGGUUUCUAAAAAUAUAUCAAUUACCACCCUUUGUUUUCAAAUUCUUUAACCCCGUCACUAAAAACAUAAAAGUAUUUGGAGUAGGUUUAUUUUGUGAAAACAUUUUAAGUUUUCUAGAAUUUAUAUUUUUAAGCAAAAGUGAAUUGCAAAAAUUUAAGCGAGAUUUUUUAUCACAAGUUUACAAUUAUGGUGAAAUCGAAGAACUUAACUACUUAGGUUGUAAACUAAGAACAUUUUAUUAACAAAGAACCAAAAACAGGCAUGAUGGAGUGCAUAGACCAAAAUCUAAAGAAAAAACAUCAAACAGAAAUAAAGGGAAACUAUGUCGAUUAUUAUAACAACAAUCCUCUAAAAUAAAUCUAGGUGGAAGAGUCCACCAAAUAUAACGUUUAGAUUAAAAACCAAAUCCCGCUAUAAAUAUGAGAGAUUACAAUUAAUUGCAUUUGAGAACACAAUGACAAAGCAUUGCGUUGUCUUUUUUUUUUUUUUUUUUUGUCAUUUAGCUUAAUGGCUAUAGAAAUUCACCUUAAAGAUGAAUAAUUGAAGUGUCAUGCAUCGUCUGUUUUUUAAUCUCCACGUGAUAGACCGAGAAUUCUAAAAAGACUUCACCGAUAAUGACGGUGGAGAUUAAAAAACGUUCAUAAUUGCGGCCAACAAAACAAUUUGUGACUAAUAAUUCUAACCUUUUUAAAGAAAAACACGAAGUAGACAAGAAAAAGGAUGUAUCAAUAUGACAAUCAAUGGAAGUCCAAAGUCAACUCUAAAUGUUAACAUCAAAUUGAUUAACGUUGUAACUUGUAACACCUCGUUUUUUCAACUUAAAAAUUUCACAUAUAAAUUAAAGUAUUUCAACAUAAACAGAAUGUCACACUUCUUUUCAUAAAAUCAUAAACAGAAUAAAAUAACUAUUUAUCCUUCAAAUUCAACAGCAUAUCAUUUAUUACAUCGCAACGGAAUGUAUUCAACAUUUAAACAUCUUUUGCACCAAGGCCUCAACAUAAAAUCUCUUAAAGUUAUUCCAACAACAUGUUCAUGAAAGUUCAUAAAAUAAUACGUAAGGAAUAGAAAGCAACAACAAAAUUCUCAUCCCGUUACGUAUCAGGGCACCUAAGACACACGUGAGAGAUAGUCCACUCACGACAACAACUAACAGCAACUAUUCUCGAUCACCUGCAGGUUACCCAUAUGAAGGGUAACAAUUCCAAGCAGAAGGGGUGAGAUUUCAUAUUCAAAUAAUAAUAAGCAUAUAAUUCAUUAAAUGCAUUUAACAACUUAAACUUCAUCAAUUAAUAACAUUAACUCUUCUUAUAAUACUUCGUUAAUAACUCAAUCAAUUUCUAAUCAUCAUUAACUUCAUAUUCAUCACAUUAUAUACAACAUCAUAUAGCACAUAAUAAUCAGAUCAUAAACAUCAUCAUAUAACGACAUAAUCAUCACAUCAUAAACAUCAUCUUAUAACAAGAUAAACGAUACAUCAUAAACAUCAUCUUAUAACAGCAUAAACAACACAUCAUAAACAUCAUCUCAUAACGACAUAAACAACAACGAUUAAUAAAUAUUAAUACUUCACUUAGUUCUUUAUUAACAACUCAUUGACAAAUGACAACUUAACGACAACGACAAUGCGACUUCUACAUCUUAAACUCAACAUAUGCAACUUCAACUUCUUAAUCAUGCAUGUGGUACCAACCAGAGCAUCAAGCCCUCAACAUAAAGAGCAUAAAUACACUCACAGGGCAUCAAGCCCUCAACAUAAGAGCAAAAGCUCACAGAGCAUCAAGCCCUCAACUUCAAAUGAUUAUGCAUGGACUCAAAAACGUACAACUUAGACAAAUUCACAACUUAUAUGAUCCAAUAUCUUGGAAUAACAACUUACAACUUUACAACUUAGACCAACACUUGCAACUUAAUGACAAUAAUGGUUCAACAACAACAGAAACAGCAACAUAAACAUCUUGCAACAUAGCAACAUCAAUAAUAACAAUUUGAAUGAUAUAAACAAUAAUAAUUUCUAUAUCAUACAUUUUCAACACCUUAUAUAAAUAUCUUAAAUUAACCAACAAUCAUUAAUCAUUUGAUUCAGGCUCUCUUUAACUCUAUAACUUAAUAACAACUUCCAUUCUUAUCCAAAGAUCAACUCAAAACAUAGGUUAAAUACUCUUAAACAUCUUAAUUGAACUCAUAGUACUUCUAGUUUUGAGGUUUUGAAUUAUCCCAUAAGUUUUGGAUUAACUUAGAAAUGGUUAUGCUGAAUUUUCAUAAGAUUUCACUAAGACCUCUCUGGAGUAUUUUUUAUCAUAUCUCAAAAACCAAAAAUCAUUUUCAAAUCAAACCAAAGCCAUUGAAAAGCUAAUAAAAUUAUCUAAAACUUUCAUGUUUACAACUAGACACAGUUCAAAGCGGAAAGGGGUGAAAAAUAGUAAAAUAAGAAGGAUCUGAUUCACAAAAAUCGUGCCACGUUUUUAUGCCCAGAACCAUUGAACUUUCGGCCAACAAAAUUGUGCCACGCUUGCAAAAUCGUGACACGUUUUGACAGCAUCAGGUCCAGAAAUCUGCUUUUCAAAAAGUGCAAUUUUCACCAUUUCGCGCGUAAAAUUCAAACCGUUAAUCGGAUUUUGAUGCCGUUUUCGCCUACACGCUCCUGAAACUUGGCUCUAUCAUAAUCUACAGCUAUUUCAAGUCUCAACCAUCCCAAGAAUCAUUUUCCAAAACCUCACAUAAUCCCUUAUUUGCAAAAACGUUUAGACACCGACUUUUCAAGCGAAAAUCUCAAUUUUCAUCAACUCAACCCCAAAACUGGUUCUAAUCAUUGUACUGUGAAUAAUCUAAGGUCUGAACAUCGUUUCUUCAUUAAUUCAACAGGUUUCUAUCAUCUAAUCAACCAAUUACAACUUUUAACCCUAAUUUCCCAAAUUCCCAAAACUACAACCUACAACAUGUUAAAUCCAAUUUUCAGAAUUAUACAACUUAUAAUUAAAGAAUGUUAUCAUUCUAGGUUCUUCUCUUCUAUUGUUUUCUCCCUUUUUCUCCAAAAACUUGUUUUACGCGAUCCUUAUUUUCUAAUUCUAACUCUCCCCUUUUAUAUAAAUCCUUAACCUACUUAUUUUCUCUUAUUUCCAAAUCUACCCCCAAAGUCUCAAUAUUCUAUUCUAAUAUAUAUGUAUAAUAAAAUACUUCUAUAACAAAUAACAAAUAUAUCUCUAUAACAAAUAUAUUUAUGUACCAGAUAACAUAUAUAUUUCUUCACCAAAUUAGAUAUAUAUUUCUACACCAAAUAACAUAUAUAUUAUACUAAUAAAUACCAACAUAUAACAUAACAAAAUAUCACUCAUCAAAAUAAAUCGACUAAAUUAUAAAAAGACAUCUAAAUUCAAUAAAAUAAAUAAAUAUUAAAAUAGGGCGUUACAAACGUGCUUUCUAUCAUCGAUGAACCAGAGCAAAAUUACCAUUAGAUUCAAUCAAUGGUCAUGAUUUAUACAAAAUAAAAAUAAGAACAUUUAAGAAUUGCCUCGCACAAUCUUGCCCCUAUUAAACUUUUUUAUUUUUGGUAUUCAUCAUCUUCAACCUCCAUUCCAAUUUUUUCGUAAUAAAAAAAAAAAAAAAAACUCCAUUUCAAUUUAGGAGCAAUGCUACAAAAGAGAAUUUGCACAAAAAAUUGAGUGUGUCUUCAAAAGUUUACGGGGUUUGCUAAAAAUCUAGUUUAUGGGUUCAAUUGGAGGUGGUGACUAAUGAAAUUGGAGGUUUAACUCAUCCUUAAAAACCAGUUCAUAAGGUGAGUCACGCCCAGCACUCUUUGGGCUUACGUGAAUCGGUAGGUAUUUGGGCUUACGUGAAUCGAUAGGUAACUCUUGAAUUCGACAGGUUCUGAUACCAUAAUGAAAUUGGAGGCCUAACUCAUCCUUAAAAACUAAUUCAUAAGGUGAGAAUUGUCUCCUCUAUAUUAACUCUUAUCAAGAGUCUUAUCUUUUCGAUGUGGAACAUGAGUUUUUUUCAAUAAUGACCUUUAAAGUUUAAACACGCGGCAUCUUUGAAUUCUACAUAGAAAAAAAAAAUAGAAUUAUAGCGUGUUAUGUUUGUUUCUCUAGAGCAUGAGACAUUUCAUUGUUCAGUUUAUGUUGUCAUGGAAAGGCAUAUGAGUGAUGGGUGUACAUCAUCGAUCGGUGGUUUGAUUCUCGUGAAUAGAACAAAAAAAAUCUGAGCUCAAUGGUACAAAUCCUUACGAUGAAAGGUGAGAUAUAGUAGGAUUGUGUGUGGAUAGUUGUAAAUGUUAUCUUUUUUAAUUCUAGUAGAUCAAAAUUGUUAAUCUCAUUUCAUGGUAAAAAUUAAAUAGUCCAUUUGUGAGGGACUCAAUAGCUCCUUCACCUUAGACGUCACCCUUAAUUAAUAAGAAACUAACGGCGAGGGACUCAACUCCCUCACCUUAGACGUCACCAUUGAUUAAUAAGAAACUAACGAUUGAAGUAAAUAAACGAGAAAGAAACUCAAACUUCUUUCUAAACUUUCUUUCUCUUUCGUUCAUCAAGGAGGGGUGGUUUUUGACCUAGAAUCACCCCUCUACAUCUUUUUUCCCAUUUUCUUUCAAUCUAAAUAAGUGGUUUUCACAUACAAGUGUUUCCUUUUGUGUUUUUUGUGAUUUUGUCGUCUAAGUACAACGCUGUGUUGGUCGUCGUCUUGUGCGGCGUUUGAUUUCACGUCUUGUCGCGGCGUUCGUUUAGUUUCUAUUGAAAGAUUGACAUCGGUCAAUUAUAAAUCCAAUCAAUGAUUUGGGUGUGAAUGUUGCCGAUCUAGAAACAUGAGUAUUUCGGUGACUUAGAUUUAAUCAUAUUAGUUGUAGCAUUUUGUCAUUUUAUGUUAUUAACUUGGGUGCUGUGAGUUUGUUCGCAGUUUUACCCUUUACGUUUCUAGCGAUUUUUGUAUCUGAUGUACUCUAUCAAUCUGAAUGAAUGAAUAUCGUUUUGUUUUUAUUAAAAAAAAAAAAUAAAAAAAAAACUAACGGUUAAAAGUUUGCUCUACAUGCCUACAAUGAUAAUAAAUAGAGAUAAUUUACUACAACUUUUAAAACAAUGAUGCUCAUUUAUAGGAACUUUACCAUAAAUAAGUCUCCAAAGAAAAAAUGAUUUGGAUUGAGGAAUUGAAGGUUUCCAAAUAAGCUAUGUCCAUGAUUGAUCAUAUGCAGAAACUUGACAAAAACUAUCAGCAUCCUAAACUGAAAGAGAACCUGAUGAAGAACCCUUCUAAGCAAGAUAUUCAGUGGAAAACUAUACCCCGAUAUUUAUCAAAUUUCAUAUUUCACCAAUUCAACUCUCUCUAUCAAUAGUAUAUAUAUAAAGUAAGAUUUUUUAUGACACGUGUCACUUCCACGUUUAUUCGCAAUAUUUUUAUUUUUUUUCUAAUUUUUCAAAACCAAUAUUUAAUUUGGCAUAAAUAUCUCAACAAACUUUUGAUCUUAUCUAUUAAAUAUUUUACUUAACUAUUUAUUGAAUUCCUAAUAUUUUAUGUAAUAGAAAUAUCUCAACAAAAUUACAUACGAUACCCUUCAAUUAAAAAUCAUCAAUCAAUCAAUAGUAUAUAUAGUAAGGUUUCUUAUGCCACGUGUCACUUUCAUGUUUAUUCGCAAUAUUUUUAUUAUUUUUAUAUUUUUUAAAAUCAAUAUUUAAUUUUGUAAAAAAAAAAUCAAUAUUUAAUUUGGCAUAAAUAUUUCAACAAAAUUUUAACCUUAGGGAUGGCAAUGGGUACCCUAUCCCAAUGGAUAGGGUACUAUAGUACCCUAUCCAUUGGGUACUCAUUGCCAUAAAUGUAUUGGUCUAUUCUCCACUAUCAUAAAUAUAAAGUGAAAUAUAUUGAAUUGGAAAUGAUGAAAGUAGUAUUAAUUAGAGUUAUAAUUGAAAAAAAAAGUAAUUAAUAAUUGUAUUGAAAAGUUAAAUGCAUCAAGAUUUUUGAGACAAUAUUUUUUACAAAUAACUUAGUUAUUAUGGGACGGAGGGAGUAACACUUUAACAUGACAAUGAAAAGUAAAUUUAAGAAUUAAAAUGCAAGAAAUGAAGAGAAUGUUUCUCUAACACAAAACUAUUUUUUUUUUCUCUUUCACUUAUACACUUUUUUAAUGUGUAAAAUAAAAAAUAAAAAAAACUUAUGUAUAAUGAGACGGAGGGAGUAGUUAGUAAGAACAAAGUCGUCAAGGAACCAAUUAACUCUUGAUUUCACUUCCCAAAAACGUCUUGAUAGUGCUAUACUCCCUCCGUCCCAAAUUAUAAGCAAAAAAACAAAAAUCACACUUAUUAAGAAAACUAAAACAUAAAAAUUUGGAGUAUAGUUUUUUGUGUUUUCGUUGGAAAAAGUUUUAUAGGAAGAUGUAAAAACAAUUUUCAUUGGCUAUUGAUUAUGGAAAAAAUGAAAGAAAGAGAAAAUUGAAUGUAAUUUGCAUUUAAUUUUAUGAGAAUAACAAAAAAAAAUCUUGGAAAAGAUUAAAAUUUGUCUUUUUUCCUUAUAUUUUGGGACAAAGAAAAUGAAUUUCUUUUGCUUAUAUUAUGGAACGGAGGGAGUACUUGGUUAAGCUGGAUUGAGCAUUCAAUUCUAAUUUAAGGGCCUUUAAUUUACCUUAAAGAAUAAACAUAGGACAACCAACCACAUAAUUAUUUAUACCAAACAUUUUCCACCACGUGGGUGAUAUCUGGAAGAUGAGAGUCCAUUUAAGUGAGUCAAUGUGACGAAAAAAAAGAUAAAAUGGCAAUUUUAGGAUCGUAAAUUUCUGAAAAUAAUGGAAGUAGUAAUUCUUUUAACGUUUUCAUUGUUUUAAAAAAAUUAUCCAAUCAUAUUUUAUAUGCAAUUUUUGUUUUUUAGAUUAAUUAAACAAUAAAUUUUGUUAACCAGUGUCCUAAGGGUGAUGAUUAAGGAAUUCAAAUGUAAAAGUUUUGUCUUGUAAUUGUAGGAUGUUACAUUUGAUCAAGUAAUGAUUAUACUACUUUUUAUUAAAAACUUACUUGAUUUAGUUGUUUAACCAGUGUGAACACUAGUUAACAUUCUCCUUAAAUAAUUGAUGUUUCUGAAAUAUAAUAUAUAUAUAUAUAUAUAUAUAGCUCAGAUACAUCACUUAUUUAAUGAAGAGUUUUUUUUUUUUCCUUCUCUUAAUUAACGAAUAAAACUAACACUUAUAUAUCUACCAAAAAAAAAAAAAAACUAACACUUAUAUAAUAUAGUUCGGAUACAAUAUAUUUAUAUAAUAUAAUCCGGAUACAUCACUUAUAUAAUCAACAUUGCUAUUUACCGCGACAAGUUUUGUCCCGAAUGCAUCAAGAAUGAAAAUAAGCCAAUUAAAAACAGCUGUUAGUGGAAAUCAUGGGAGGUGGGGGAGAAAAAGAUGGAAAUCAUAAACUAAUGGAUGGAUGGCAUACAUGCCACAUGUGUCUGGAAAAUCUCGGGACAGUUUUAUUUCGUGUGAAAUAGCAUUUUUCCUUAUAUAAUAUAGUCCAGGUACAAGGCAACUAUCACCGGAUGAGGUUUUAUCUUUUUAUUAAUGAAUAAAACUUUUUUUAAGAAGCUAAAUGCAAAAUAUAUUAAAAACCAAAUUAGUUAAGCACAAGAUGUGCCAAACGAAAAACUGUGUAUAACGUCAAAGUAACAAACUCGAUAAAGAAAGAAACCACAAAUAAUAAAAAUCAAAAGCGAAAUUCAGUUUAUGUGUCUUUAGCCACCACAAAAAAUGAAAUUUAAUAUUGUCGAGAAGUUGAUCCUUAGAAGACACGUUGUUAUUGAAAUUUCUCGAGUUUCUCUCCUUCCAAAUUCUCUCCUUCGAAAUAACUCAAAGACAUGUCAGCACACCACUUUAAAACAAGAGCUAAUGUCCUUCCUGAAAGCAUGCGCGCCAAAAAAUUGUUGUGCGUGACAACCAAUAUUUGAUGGAACGACGGUAGUUUUACCCUACCAGAUCAACAAACACCCUACCAGAUCAACAAACAGGGAAAAUAAAUAAAAAAUAUUUUUGCAAAGUAAUUAAACGGAUUCUAAUGUUUAAUAGGAACCGAUCGAGGACAACAUAGAAAUCAUGCUGGAAUUUGAAGAAGAAAUACAAACCUAAUUAAAGAGAGGGGCUAAGUAUUUCCAAGCUGGAACUUGAAAAAGAAAAACCAUGCUCUAAUUAAGUAACUAAGUAAGGUAGUACAUUACAACAAUUGAGAUAAGUACGACACAUUAUGAUGAUUAUGACUUAUGAGCUGUUAAAUGAUGUUGUAGGAUUACUUUUUUCUUGUCAAAAAUAAAUAAAUGAUGUUGUAGGAGAAACAUUAUUAUAAACAUUAUUAUAACUUACAAGGACUAAUGUUUAAAAAAAAAAACUUACAAGGACUAAUAAUGAGACAGAACGAAAGUGUACGUGAGUGUAGGAGACACGUUAUUAUAACAUUUUAUAAAUAUUUAAACGUUGAUAAUAAUUUUGUCGAUCUAUAAACCACUACCAAUUCCUAGUUAAAUAUAUAAUAAUUUUUAUUAUAUUUGUUAGUUGAUGGUAAAAGAUGAAUAUAAUUUGUUACUAUAUUUUUUUUUGACAAAAUAAUUUGUUGCUAUUUAAAAUUCAUAAAUAUAGUCUAUACAUAUAAUUUUAAUAAAAAUAAAAAUUCACCCAAAAAAAAAUCAAAAAUUUCAUAAAAAAAUAAAUAUUGUUUAUAAUUCACGAGCGUUGUCGCAGUACAAAAAUGGAUAGAUGGAUACCCAGUACUAGUAAUUAAUGAAGUUAAUUGGUAAAAUUUCACUCUUACUGGUGGUUGAUGGUAGGGGUGUUUACGGUGCGGUUUGGUUCGGUUUUGAGAGAAAAAGUCAUCCAAACCGCAAGAUAAAAAAACAUGCGGUUUGUGUAACACCCACAGCUGACGAGGGCAGGGGAGUGGUCACCGGUGCACAAGGCACGCCAAUGAGCGGCUCCCGACAGCUUCUAGAGGAACCGAAUCACAUCUGAAUGAGAGGGAUCCUGAGGCCGUGUAGGUGUGGGACUACAUGAAUGAAGGAAUGCUUAUAAGAAUUGUUUGGUAAUACCUAUAUCAACAAGGUGCAUCUUCUUUUUGGUACCCUAUUCCAUAAGAACUCCACAGUUAAGCGUGCUUGACUUGGAGUAGUCUUUGGAUGGGUGACCUACCGGGAUUCCCGAUAAGCAUGCGAGUGAGGACAAAACACGCUGAAAAGACUCGUGUUGGUUUGUAGGGUCAGUCGACAAUGCUUAAAGUCGUCUGGGAUGUUACAGUUUGGUUUGGUUCGGUUGGCUUUAAAAUAAAAUCCGAACCAAACCAAACCAAUAUGGUUUGGGUUGUAUCGGUUGGUGCGGUUUUUUUCGUGACGAUACGAUUUUUUGUUUCCAACAUUAAAAUCAAGAUAAAAAGCUGAAACACAAUAUAUUUUCAACAAUGUUUUAAAUUUCAUCAAACAUUACAAUUUCAUUUUCAUUACAAUGUUUCCAACAACAUAAACCAAAUUAAAAACGCGGACAAAAAGUAAUCUUAUUUUGUAAGAAAUGCAAAAGACUGAGAUGUUCUCAUUCUCUAAAAGUUAAGUAGCACAUAAAUACAUUUUUAAAUAAAAAGCAAAUAAUGAACUUAACAAGAGAAAAAAAAUAUGACAUUUUAUAAAAGUUUUCAUUGAGUUUCUAUGAGUAUUGGUCUUGAUGACAUAUGUUUAAUUAACAUUUUUCUUAUGUUAUGGUUUGGUUUGGUUUUGUAUCUAUUUGACAGUCUCUUUGUACUUUGAGCGACCUCUUUAGUACGCCUUAUGCUAAAGAGGUGUCUCUCUUAUUGUGAAUAUAUAUCAUUUUACCUUCUUAAAAAAAAGUUAAUUGGUAAAAAAAAAAAAAAUUUCUCUCUUGAUUUAUAUGAAAUGACAUUUUUUUUUGGAACAUGGAGGGUAUUGAUUUUUACACCUUUUCAAAAGCCACUCAAGGAUGAAUAUAGAUUUUUCAUGCAUCAAACACAAGAAUCAUUAGCAUAACAUGCUUUGGAAAACACACACAUAUACUUAAAUUAAUGGUUGGAGUAUCAAAUUUAAAAAUAUUGUUGUCAAUACAUACCCCGUCAAUCCUCCUUUUUUACCCAAUAAACAUUGAAAUGUUGCUUCUUUCGUUAAGCAUAAAAACAUCAAAGUCUAGCAAAAUGUUGUUUUUGCGAUGACACAUUUCAUAUAGUUUAAAGGAUGCAUGAUUCGAUUACAAAAACAAAAUACUAAUAAUUCUAGCACAAAGUUUAAAGCUAAGAUUAUAAAGCUUCAUAGCAUGUGGAUAUUCAUUUAGAAAUAUAGGAUUAGGAUUGCCCCUUUCAUCACGGGUCUAAUAGCACCACUUGUCACUACAUGUUAAAAAUGUCCUCUAGUACAACACCGCUUUUUACUUGAUUCCCCUUGUCCAUGAAAAAAUCAAACAAUAUUUGGACACAAAAAUUUGCCCCCACUUUCCUUUUUCUUCUGCCCUAGUUUGUUUGAAAACUCAUAUUGAUCAAAUUUGGCUAUGAAUUCAAACAAAAAAUUCACUCUGCCCAUUGCAUGUGUGGGACCCACAUAUAAAUCCAUGAAGGAUUUCAAUGUCCAUCCAAGUCAAUGAUUCAACAUAUAACAUUGAAUAAUUUAAUUCCAAUUUGCAGUAUUAUGAUUUAGAUUGAUUGCUGCAAUACGGUCCGUGAAUGUAACUCACGAGAAAGAGGUAUCAAGGUAUUUUAUUUUAUUUUUAACAAAUAAAAUUUCAAGGUCUUGUUCACCAUAUAAACCUCCUCACUCUCACUCAAUUCUCUUAAGUGUAUGACUUCAUAGUAAACUACACUACUUUCUUUAAAACAUGGCUAACUAUGCUAUAGCCAAUGUUUUGAUCCUUCUCUUGAACUUGAGUACCUUACUCAAUGUUCUUGCUUGCCCUUAUUGUCCUUACCCAAGCCCUAAACCACCUUCACACCACCCUCCUAUUGUUAAGCCACCAGUUCACAAACCACCAAAGCAUUCUCCUACUCCUAAACCACCAGUUCAUAAACCACCAAGAUAUCCUCCUAAACCAUCACCUUGUCCACCCCCAUCAUCAACACCAAAACCACCUCAUCAUCCCAAACCCCCAGCAGUACACCCACCACAUGUUCCAAAACCACAUCCACCUUAUGUUCCAAAACCACCAAUUGUUAAACCUCCAAUAGUACAUCCACCUUACGUACCAAAACCCCCAGUUGUGAAACCACCACCAUAUGUCCCUAAACCACCUGUUGUGAGACCACCCUAUGUUCCUAAACCACCAGUUGUACCUGUAACACCACCUUAUGUUCCUAAGCCACCAAUUGUUUUCCCACCACAUGUUCCUCUACCUCCAGUUGUACCAUCACCACCACCUUAUGUACCAACACCUCCAAUUGUGAAACCACCAAUUGUUUUUCCACCACAUGUUCCUCUACCUCCAGUUGUGCCUGUAACACCACCUUAUGUGCAACCACCACCUAUUGUAACUCCACCAACACCAACACCUCCAAUUGUGACACCACCAACACCACCUAGUGAAACACCUUGUCCUCCACCACCACUUGUACCUUAUCCACCACCACCAGCACAACAAACAUGUUCCAUUGAUGCUUUGAAGUUGGGUGCAUGUGUUGAUGUGCUUGGUGGACUCAUACAUAUUGGUAUAGGUGGAAGUG
rnacentral:lncRNA from 1 species